GUUCCAAAUGAAGCUUGAAACUUUAAAACCAUGCUAAUGUUGAUAAUCGAGUAAUUAAAUAUCUCUUAUAUUCAUUUUGAUAUGAGGAAACU
rfam:Gossypium raimondii chromosome 1, whole genome shotgun sequence.